rnacentral:rRNA from 1 species
AAUAAACGCUGGCGGCGUGCCUAACACAUGCAAAUCGAGCGAGAAAGCUCCUUCGGGAGUUAGUAAAGCGGCGAACGGGUGAGCAACACGUGAGAAUCUACCCUUUAGUGAAGGAUACCCUCGAGAAAUCGAGGCUAAUACUGCAUACGUCCCUUCGGGGAGAAAGAUGGCCUCUUUGCUAUCGCUAAAGGAUGAGCUUGCGUACUAUUAGCUAGUUGGCGGGGUAAAGGCCCACCAAGGCAAUGAUGGUUAACCGGCCUGAGAGGGUGUACGGUCACACUGGAACUUAGACACGGUCCAGACUCCUACGGGAGGCAGCAGUGAGGAAUCUUGCGCAAUGGGCGAAAGCCUGACGCAGCGACGCCGCGUGGAGGAUGACGGUUUUCGGAUUGUAAACUCCUGUUAAGCGGGAAGAAAGCCUUGUUUCUAAUACAAGCAAGGUAUGACGGUACCGCUAGAGAAAGCACCGGCUAACUUCGUGCCAGCAGCCGCGGUAAUGUCGUC